rnacentral:lncRNA from 1 species
AAAACCACGGUUUUAAAGAAUCUCAAGGGAGAAUGCUUUAUAAAGCUUUUCUACGUGUUACAGCCGAGUGGAUUGCCAGCACGUCUCGGGCACUCUCUUAGGUUGGCUUUGUUCAGAAGGAGUCAGGCAGCUCUUAUGCCAUCACCUCGCAACUUGUUUUGUGACUAUUCCUGUCUUCCUGAUGUCUUGGUGACUGUUCCAGAAGGCAGAUGAAAAACAGAGGAAGUGUUAGGGACCGUGCAGAAGGAAGAAGGAGAAGGUCACAUUCAGUGAGCACUUGGGUACCAAACUGAAUAACACUUUUCAAGAACAGUUCUAUAUGACCGACAAAGAAAGAAGUCCUCGACACCAUCCUCAUGGCUGGGCCAGGGACCAGCAGGGAAAGGCCAUGCACGGGUCAAGGAAGGAGGAGUCUGCUUCCCAGACAGAUGGAAUGAAGAAACUAUGAAUCAAAAGGAAAAGAAGAAUAGUCAAACACUUGCAUGCAUUUGGUUCUCUUAUCUGACUGAGCAUCUGAAACGGGCAAUAGCCUCCAGACCAUUUAAUCUUUUUCCUCUGCAACAGCAAGAUUCACAGACGUACUGAAGUAAGCUUAAAGGCAUAGAAAUCUUUGGUCUGUCAGGAAAACUGCAUCACUGUGUUUUUCCUAAUCUUAUUAGGUUGAGGACACGAAUGCCAAAUACUGGAAUAUAUUUUCACUCCAUCAAGAAGCACAGGACAGUUACCUGGUGCUCAGCUGUCUGGAGAUGGGCAGAGCUGGAGUGAAAUGCCAGAGGAAAUAAGGUGCCUGGCUGAAGUCAGCUCUUGCUGACAGGUGCACCCUGACAGGGUGCAUCAAUACAGAAAGUGACAGCAAAGGAAGCUCUGCAGAGCUGCUGUGAGGCUUUGUGACACUGGCCAGGUUAAAGACAUCUCAGUCUCUUCCCGUGACCUCCAUUCUGCUCGUACUGCCUGGCUUCACCUCACUGGUAACAGCUAGCGCGGGAGGAAUAGCUUUCAAAACAGCUUUGAGAAAGAAUAUGAAUGAAUGAAUGAUUCAAAAGGAUAGCCAAGUACAAUUUUUGAAAUAAGUCAUUUAC